CCGUUUACAAAAUACCCAAGCCCAUUAAACCAUUUAACCCAUCCUCAAACCCAAAACCUAAAAUUAACCUAGCCCAACAUCCAAGCCCAAUCCCAAAACCCUAAACUCCCACUUGCCUCUUCCCACUCUCCCAUGCUGUCUGCCACCAGCACCACUCCCACUCUCCCAUCCUGUCUGCCACCAGCACCAUCACACACCCCACCGUCCAUGCCCAUGCCCUGCAAACAAGCAAAAUAGAAGCAAGAAUAGAAAAUAAUAAUAAAGUAUGUAAAAAUUAGGCCAUAUAAAAGCCACCCAAACAACAAACGAAAAGGGGGGAGGAUGUACAAAAAGUUUGUAUCAAAAACAAAAGAAAAAAGAAAAGCUUAGAAGUUGAACUUCAAUUUUUUUCCUCUGUUAUCUCAAUCUUUCUGUUUAUCUUUGCUUUGCUUUAUUUUUUUAUUAACUUACUUUAAAACGAAAAAGAAUCAAGGAAGAAAAGAGUCUUACCGGAUCUACCCCGUGGCCGCUCCCCUCUCUGUUCGGCACGGUGAAUCGCCGGCGAUGAUGGGUGUUGAAACCUUAAUUGAAGAAAGGAGCAAAG
rnacentral:lncRNA from 1 species